CCUACGGGAGGCAGCAGUGAGGAAUAUUGGUCAAUGGGCGCGAGCCUGAACCAGCCAAGUCGCGUGAGGGAAGACGGUCCUAUGGAUUGUAAACCUCUUUUGUCGGGGAGCAAAAGACGCCACGCGUGGCGUUCCGAGAGUACCCGAAGAAAAAGCAUCGGCUAACUCCGUGCCAGCAGCCGCGGUAAUACGGAGGAUGCGAGCGUUAUCCGGAUUUAUUGGGUUUAAAGGGUGCGCAGGCGGAAGAUCAAGUCAGCGGUAAAAUUGAGAGGCUCAACCUCUGCGAGCCGUUGAAACUGGUUGUCUUGAGGUAGUGAGAAGUACGCGGAAUGCGCGGUGUAGCGGUGAAAUGCAUAGAUAUCACGCAGAACCCCGAUUGCGAAGGCAGCAUACCGGCGCUCAACUGACGCUGAGGCACGAAAGUGUGGGUAUCGAACAGGAUUAGAUACCCUAGUAGUC
rnacentral:rRNA from 1 species